rnacentral:rRNA from 1 species
GACGAACCGUGCGAACGUUAUUCGGAAUCACUGGGCUUAAAGCGCGUGUAGGCGGAUGGGUACGUCGGUCGCUGAAAUCCCCCGGCUCAACCGGGGAACGGGCGCCGAAACGACCCGUCUGGAGGGACGUAGGGGACCUGGAACUUCCGGUGGAGCGGUGAAAUGCGUUGAGAUCGGAAGGAACGCCCGUGGCGAAAGCGAGGUCCUGGACGUCUACUGACGCUGAGACGCGAAAGCUAGGGUAGCGAACGGG